GACGAACGCUGGCGGCGUGCUUAACACAUGCCAGUCGAACGGAAAGGCCCCUUUGGGGGUACUCGAGUGGCGAACGGGUGAGUAACACGUGAGUAACCUGCCCUUGACUUCGGGAUAACUUCAGGAAACUGGGGCUAAUACCGGAUAGGAAUCCUUGCUGCAUGGUGGGGGUUGGAAAGCUUCGGCGGUUUUGGAUGGACUCGCGGCUUAUCAGCUUGUUGGUGGGGUAGUGGCUUACCAAGGCUUUGACGGGUAGCCGGCCUGAGAGGGCGACCGGCCACAUUGGGACUGAGAUACGGCCCAGACUCCUACGGGAGGCAGCAGUGGGGAAUAUUGCACAAUGGGCGGAAGCCUGAUGCAGCAACGCCGCGUGCGGGAGGACGGCCUUCGGGUUGUAAACCGCUUUCAGCAGGGGCGAAGCUUGUGGUGACGGUACCUGCAGAAGAAGCACCGGCUAACUACGUG
rnacentral:rRNA from 1 species